rnacentral:rRNA from 1 species
GAUGAACGCUGGCGGCGUGCCUAAUACAUGCAAGUCGAGCGAACAGACGAGGAGCUGGCUCCUCUGACGUUAGCGGCGGACGGGUGAGGAACACGUGGAUAACCUACCUAUAAGACUGGGAUAACUUCGGGAAACCGGAGCUAAUACCGGAUAAUAUAUUGAAGCGGAGGGUUGAAAAGUGAAAGAGGGUUUUGCUGGCACUUAUAGAUGGAUCCGCGCCGCAUGAGCUAGUGGGUAAGGUAACGGCUUAGCAAGGCAACGAUGAGUAGCCGACCUGAGAGGGUGAUCGCCCCCUCUGGGACUGAGCCGCGGUCCAGACUCCUACGGGAGGCCGCAGUAGGUACUCUUCCGCGCUGGGGGGAAGCCUGCCGGAGCAGCGCCGCGUGAGUGCUGCAGGUCUUCGGAUCGUAAGACUCUCUUAUUAGUGAAAAACAAAUGUGUAAGUAACUAUGCUCGUCUUGACGGUACCUACUCAGAAAGCCACGGCUAACUACGUG